UUGCUAGAAGCCAAAACUCAGAGGCUUAUCACUGUUAAUGAUAAUAUUGAACACUUAUUCCUAGCAAG
rnacentral:tRNA from 1 species